AGUGAACGCUGGCGGCGUGCUUAACACAUGCAAGUCGAACGAGAACGGGAUAUAGCUUGCUAUAUUUGUCAGCUAAGUGGCGCACGGGUGAGUAAUGUAUAGAUAACCUGCCCUCUAGAAAGGAAUAACAGUUGGAAACGACUGCUAAUGCCCUAUAUGCCUUUAAUACAUAAGUAUGCAAGGCAAACGCUUUAGUGCUAGAGGAUGGGUCGGUAUGGUAUCAGCUUGUUGGUGAUGUAAUGGCUCACCAAGGCUAUGACGCCUAACUGGUUUGAGAGGAUGAUCAGUCACACUGGAACUGAGACACGGUCCAGACUCCUACGGGAGGCAGCAGUGGGGAAUAUUGCACAAUGGACGAAAGUCUGAUGCAGCAACGCCGCGUGGAGGAUGACACAUUUCGGUGCGUAAACUCCUUUUAUAUAGGAAGAUAAUGACGGUACUAUAUGAAUAAGCACCGGCUAACUCCGUGCCAGCCGCCGCCGUAA
rnacentral:rRNA from 1 species